UGCAGUCGAACGAUCCUUCGGGAUAGUGGCGGACGGGUGAGUAACACGUGGGAAUGUGCCUUUAGGUUCGGAGUAACUCAGGGAAACUUGAGCUAAUACCGGAUGUGCCCUUCGGGGGAAAGAUUUAUCGCCUUUAGAGCGGCCCGCGUCUGAUUAGCUAGUUGGUGGGGUAACGGCCUACCAAGGCGACGAUGCGUAGCCGACCUGAGAGGGUGAUCGGCCACACUGGGACUGAGACACGGCCCAGACUCCUACGGGAGGCAGCAGUAGGGAAUAUUGCACAAUGGGCGGAAGCCUGAUGCAGCAACGCCGCGUGAGGGAUGACGGCCUUCGGGUUGUAAACCUCUUUUAGCAGGGAAGAAGCGAGAGUGACGGUACCUGCAGAAAAAGCACCGGCUAACUACGUGCCAGCAGCCGCGGUAAU
rnacentral:rRNA from 1 species